UGGUUUUGUCGAUUUAAAAAAACAUUAAUUGACAUGAUUUGUGACUUACACUUUUGUCUUUUCGAAGGAUAUUACAUGCUCGCAUUGUUCAAUGAUAUUGCGUGUCCACAAGGUAUAGGAGUCACAAGUAUGGGUGAAACAAAAAAACGUUAUAGUCUAUUGAAAGCCAGACCCCGAUUCGCUUUAUCGCAAGCUUCUUUAAGGUCAUUAUCUUCUCCUUUAACCUCAAUAAUAAUAAUUGAUAUACAGAUUUUAAAUCUAUAUGAAUCAUUUAGUUUGUUUGGUCGAGUUUAAACUUUGUUUGAAAUCUUGCAACCAAAUAAAGCCAAUGGCUGCAGCUGUAGCCCAAGCCCUGUGUGCGAACAAAUACCUUGGUUGACCAUGAUGGCGGUGCAACUCAGGGUAGCCCGGUUGAUGAAGAUAGUCCAGUUAGUUAUCGAAUGAAGUCCAGUCGAUGGCUAUGAAGAAAACUGAUAAGUACGCAAAUGUGUCUUUUGGUUCUAAGUAGUCAAAAGUAAGACUUUGAAAACUAUCGUUUAUGGUAAUGUGUUUUGUUGUUGGGGAACGCUUUAAUUCUGUUGGUUAGCAAGUUUUUGGUAUCAUGCCUUGAGUUCA